rnacentral:rRNA from 1 species
GGGUUGUGAGGUUAAGCGACUAAGCGUACACGGUGGAUGCCCUGGCAGUCAGAGGCGAUGAAGGACGUGCUAAUCUGCGAUAAGCGUCGGUAAGGUGAUAUGAACCGUUAUAACCGGCGAUUUCCGAAUGGGGAAACCCAGUGUGUUUCGACACACUAUCAUUAACUGAAUCCAUAGGUUAAUGAGGCGAACCGGGGGAACUGAAACAUCUAAGUACCCCGAGGAAAAGAAAUCAACCGAGAUUCCCCCAGUAGCGGCGAGCGAACGGGGAGCAGCCCAGAGCCUGAAUCAGUAUGUGUGUUAGUGGAAGCGUCUGGAAAGGCGCGCGAUACAGGGUGACAGCCCCGUACACAAAAAUGCACAUGCUGUGAGCUCGAUGAGUAGGGCGGGACACGUGGUAUCCUGUCUGAAUAUGGGGGGACCAUCCUCCAAGGCUAAAUACUCCUGACUGACCGAUAGUGAACCAGUACCGUGAGGGAAAGGCGAAAAGAACCCCGGCGAGGGGAGUGAAAAAGAACCUGAAACCGUGUACGUACAAGCAGUGGGAGCACGCUUAGGCGUGUGACUGCGUACCUUUUGUAUAAUGGGUCAGCGACUUAUAUUCUGUAGCAAGGUUAACCGAAUAGGGGAGCCGAAGGGAAACCGAGUCUUAACUGGGCGUUAAGUUGCAGGGUAUAGACCCGAAACCCGGUGAUCUAGCCAUGGGCAGGUUGAAGGUUGGGUAACACUAACUGGAGGACCGAACCGACUAAUGUUGAAAAAUUAGCGGAUGACUUGUGGCUGGGGGUGAAAGGCCAAUCAAACCGGGAGAUAGCUGGUUCUCCCCGAAAGCUAUUUAGGUAGCGCCUCGUGAAUUCAUCUCCGGGGGUAGAGCACUGUUUCGGCAAGGGGGUCAUCCCGACUUACCAACCCGAUGCAAACUGCGAAUACCGGAGAAUGUUAUCACGGGAGACACACGGCGGGUGCUAACGUCCGUCGUGAAGAGGGAAACAACCCAGACCGCCAGCUAAGGUCCCAAAGUCAUGGUUAAGUGGGAAACGAUGUGGGAAGGCCCAGACAGCCAGGAUGUUGGCUUAGAAGCAGCCAUCAUUUAAAGAAAGCGUAAUAGCUCACUGGUCGAGUCGGCCUGCGCGGAAGAUGUAACGGGGCUAAACCAUGCACCGAAGCUGCGGCAGCGACGCUGAUGCGUUGUUGGGUAGGGGAGCGUUCUGUAAGCCUGCGAAGGUGUGCUGUGAGGCAUGCUGGAGGUAUCAGAAGUGCGAAUGCUGACAUAAGUAACGAUAAAGCGGGUGAAAAGCCCGCUCGCCGGAAGACCAAGGGUUCCUGUCCAACGUUAAUCGGGGCAGGGUGAGUCGACCCCUAAGGCGAGGCCGAAAGGCGUAGUCGAUGGGAAACAGGUUAAUAUUCCUGUACUUGGUGUUACUGCGAAGGGGGGACGGAGAAGGCUAUGUUGGCCGGGCGACGGUUGUCCCGGUUUAAGCGUGUAGGCUGGUUUUCCAGGCAAAUCCGGAAAAUCAAGGCUGAGGCGUGAUGACGAGGCACUACGGUGCUGAAGCAACAAAUGCCCUGCUUCCAGGAAAAGCCUCUAAGCAUCAGGUAACAUCAAAUCGUACCCCAAACCGACACAGGUGGUCAGGUAGAGAAUACCAAGGCGCUUGAGAGAACUCGGGUGAAGGAACUAGGCAAAAUGGUGCCGUAACUUCGGGAGAAGGCACGCUGAUAUGUAGGUGAAGUCCCUCGCGGAUGGAGCUGAAAUCAGUCGAAGAUACCAGCUGGCUGCAACUGUUUAUUAAAAACACAGCACUGUGCAAACACGAAAGUGGACGUAUACGGUGUGACGCCUGCCCGGUGCCGGAAGGUUAAUUGAUGGGGUUAGCGCAAGCGAAGCUCUUGAUCGAAGCCCCGGUAAACGGCGGCCGUAACUAUAACGGUCCUAAGGUAGCGAAAUUCCUUGUCGGGUAAGUUCCGACCUGCACGAAUGGCGUAAUGAUGGCCAGGCUGUCUCCACCCGAGACUCAGUGAAAUUGAACUCGCUGUGAAGAUGCAGUGUACCCGCGGCAAGACGGAAAGACCCCGUGAACCUUUACUAUAGCUUGACACUGAACAUUGAGCCUUGAUGUGUAGGAUAGGUGGGAGGCUUUGAAGUGUGGACGCCAGUCUGCAUGGAGCCGACCUUGAAAUACCACCCUUUAAUGUUUGAUGUUCUAACGUUGACCCGUAAUCCGGGUUGCGGACAGUGUCUGGUGGGUAGUUUGACUGGGGCGGUCUCCUCCUAAAGAGUAACGGAGGAGCACGAAGGUUGGCUAAUCCUGGUCGGACAUCAGGAGGUUAGUGCAAUGGCAUAAGCCAGCUUGACUGCGAGCGUGACGGCGCGAGCAGGUGCGAAAGCAGGUCAUAGUGAUCCGGUGGUUCUGAAUGGAAGGGCCAUCGCUCAACGGAUAAAAGGUACUCCGGGGAUAACAGGCUGAUACCGCCCAAGAGUUCAUAUCGACGGCGGUGUUUGGCACCUCGAUGUCGGCUCAUCACAUCCUGGGGCUGAAGUAGGUCCCAAGGGUAUGGCUGUUCGCCAUUUAAAGUGGUACGCGAGCUGGGUUUAGAACGUCGUGAGACAGUUCGGUCCCUAUCUGCCGUGGGCGCUGGAGAAUUGAGGGGGGCUGCUCCUAGUACGAGAGGACCGGAGUGGACGCAUCACUGGUGUUCGGGUUGUCAUGCCAAUGGCACUGCCCGGUAGCUAAAUGCGGAAGAGAUAAGUGCUGAAAGCAUCUAAGCACGAAACUUGCCCCGAGAUGAGUUCUCCCUGACUCCUUGAGAGUCCUGAAGGAACGUUGAAGACGACGACGUUGAUAGGCCGGGUGUGUAAGCGCAGCGAUGCGUUGAGCUAACCGGUACUAAUGAACCGUGAGGCUUAACCUUACAACGCCGAAGGUGUUU